UUGAUGACUUUAUAGACAAACUUCAUUUCUUUUUCCCUACUCAGUUAAACCUGAGGCUCCUUUUGACAUAAAAGUCAUCUAUCGUGAGGAAGCCAAUGACUUUGUGGUGACUUUUCAUACAUCACACUUGAAGAAGAAGUAUGUAAAGCAAUUAAUGCAUGACAUAGCCUACCGCCAGGAAAAAGAUAAAAAGGAUUGGAUGCACGUGAAUUUAUCCAACACAAAGCUGACUCUCCUGCAGAGAAAACUGCAACCUGAUGCAAUGUAUGAGAUUAAAGUCCUAUCCAUCCUGUAUAGUGAAUAUUAUGAGGGUUUCUGGAGUGAAUGGAGUCCAAGUUCCCACUUCAGAACUCCAUGCAGGACCCUGAUGCUCUAGGAACACCAUGGGGACGGCCACAUCCCAGCAUGCAGCACAUCAAAGAGGACAAGGUUGGUGCUCAAACAUUCCAUUCUUGUUGCAUCAGAGAUCGAGGCUGAAAUCUUGUAAAAGCAAAACAACUGUGACAUUUCAAAAUCUGCCCAGAAAGAACACAGACUACACCAAGACAUAGGACUGAAGAGCUGGGGUGAGGAGGAAAGGGAAAUGAAAGAAGAGCCACAACAAGGAACAUAUUGUGCUCCUGGAGAUGAAACAUCACAAUGCUGGGACUCCCCCUUGAGCCCUAGAGACUGACUCAGCACCUAUUGAUAAAAUGCUGAAGACAUUAAUGUAGGACCAGAACUGCAGGAGGUUUCCCUACAACCAUCCUCACCUACUCAGUGCCUGGGGUGCUUUUCUCUUUUUCCUUAGCUCUGGAUUGACACCAUUCACUGCGGUGAGCAGGCCUCCCAACCUCCAGGAAGAUGGAGGCCAAAAAUUGUUUUUCAUCUUAAGAAUACAAUUGCUUAAUUAAAGAAGGUAAGUUGACUGCAGCAAGGAGUAGUCAAGACAGAUUCUGAAGACUGGGUAUUGGAAAUUUUUGUGUAUUUUUCAUGUAUCAGGUUUUUUCCAGAAUAUUCCUAUUGCAAUAGGCUGCUGCUGUGUGUCACUGUUCUGUCCUUCAAUACACAAGCACAGGGCGAGUGGCUUUUCAAUACUCUUGUUCUGGACCAACUACUAAAUGUGUAAGGGCUAUGUAAUAAACUUCAUUUAAAAACUGA